UACGGGGGGGGUAAGCGUUGUUCGGAAUUACUGGGCGUAAAGGGCUCGUAGGCGGCCAACUAAGUCAGACGUGAAAUCCCUCAGCUUAACUGGGGAACCGCGUCUGAUACUGGAUGGCUUGGAUUCGGGAGAGGAAUGCGGAAUUCCAGGUGUAGCGGUGAAAUGCGUAGAUAUCUGGAGGAACACCGGUGGCGAAGGCGGCAUUCUGGACCGACAUUGACGCUGAGGAGCGAAAGCUAGGGGAGCAAACGGG
rnacentral:rRNA from 1 species